rnacentral:rRNA from 1 species
AGUGAACGCUGGCGGCGUGCCUAAUACAUGCAAGUCGAACGAAGUGGCGCACGGGUGAGUAAUAUAUAGUUAAUCCUCCCUACACAGAGGAACAACAGUCGGAAACGGCUGCUAAUACCCCAUAGUGUAGGAUGAGACUAUAUCGUAUCAGCUAGUUGGUAAGGUAAUGGCUUACCAAGGCUAUGACGCGUAACUGGUCUGAGAGGAUGAUCAGUCACAUUGGAACUGAGACACGGUCGAAACUCCUACGGGAGGCAGCAGUAAGGAAUAGUGCGCAAGGGGGGAGACCCUGACGCAGCAACGGGGCGUGGAGGAUGACAAUUUUCGAAGCGUAAACUCCUUUUAUCAGGAAAGCGGUACCUGAUGAAUAAGCACCGGCUAACUCCGUGCCAGCAGCCGCGGUAAUAC